rnacentral:rRNA from 1 species
AUUGAACGCUUGCGGAAUGCUUUACACAUGCAAGUCGAACGGCAGCACGGACUUCGGUCUGGUGGCGAGUGGCGAACGGGUGAGUAAUGUAUCGGAACGUGCCCAGUCGUGGGGGAUAACGUAGUGAAAAUUACGCUAAUACCGCAUACGAUCUAUGGAUGAAAGCGGGGGAUCGCAAGACCUCGCGCGAUUGGAGCGGCCGAUAUCAGAUUAGGUAGUUGGGGGGGUAAAGGCCCACCAAGCCAACGAUCUGUAGCUGGUCUGAGAGGACGACCAGCCACACUGGAACUGAGACACGGUCCAGAAUCCUACGGGAGGCAGCAGUGGGGUAUUUUGGACAAUGGGCGAAAGCCUGAUCCAGCCAUUCCGCGUGCAGGAUGAAGGACCUCGGGUUGUAAACUGCUUUUGUACAGAACGAAAAGGUUUCUACUAAUACUAGGAGCUCAUGACGGUACUGUAAGAAUAAGCACCGGCUAACUACGUGCCAGCCGCCGCCGUAA